UACGUAGGGUGCAAGCGUUAUCCGGAAUCACUGGGCGUAAAGCGUGCGUAGGUGGCGCGUUAAGUGAGAUGUUAAAUCGUGUGGCUCAACCUAUCGAUGCAUCUCAUACUGGCGUGCUAGAGGACGGCAGAGGCAAGUGGAAUUGGUAGUGUAGCAUGAAAUGCGUAGAUAUUACCAGGAACACCAAUGGCGAAGGCAGCUUGCUGGGCCACUCCUGACACUGAGGUACGAAAGCGUGGGGAGCGAACAGG
rnacentral:rRNA from 1 species